GGGCACCCAGCGUGCCUUUUCUUCUUCCAUCACAGCCUAGUGUGCGCUCUCUCUCGUGGGCACGCUUGGGCGACCGUCGUCGCCGCCGCCACCGUCGCCGCCUACGAUAGGUGGCCAGGUCUUCUUCGAUCUCUCCGCCGGAGACGAGCACCAUCAGGGUAUAGAUGUGUACGUCAAUGUCCUUUACCGGGUCCACCCCUGAUUAGCAAAUGGCUACGAUUCUGGUAUUGCGAUGUGUCUAGGGCCUGCCCUGGCAUGCUGACCUGAGCUGGGUAGCUGAUCCAUUUAUCGUUAGACUGUCGCGAUCUAUGGUUUAGGGUAAAGUUGUACAGCUGAUCAAUCAAUAGCUAGAUCGAUUGAGCCAAUGUCUGCACCUGACGUUGUCGGUUUUACUAGUUGCCAUAAUGGUGGAGCUAGAAGUUGCUUUGUUAUCUAGAGAAUAGGCUUGAUAGUAGCCUGUGAGUGAUGUAUUAUGCAAUGAAGCAAUGUGGCAUGUUUGAGGUUCGUAGUUAUCAGUUUCCAGUUAUUAUGUGGAUUAUGCUACAUUUGUCGUCAUGUUGAUUUUGUCUCGUUAGUCUAUGUGAAGUGAUGAC
rnacentral:lncRNA from 7 species